ACAGACCGCUGGGAUCCCUUCGGGGUGAACUUGGUGCUGACGAGUGGCGGACGGGUGAGUAAAGCAUAGGAAUCUGCCCAGCAGCGGGGGACAACUCGGGGAAACUCGAGCUAAUACCGCAUACGCCCUACGGGGGAAAGCGGGGGACCUUCGGGCCUCGCACUAUUGGAUGAGCCUAUGUCUGAUUAGCUUGUUGGUAAGGUAACGGCUUACCAAGGCGACGAUCAGUAGCUGGUCUGAGAGGAUGAUCAGCCACACCGGAACUGAGACACGGUCCGGACUCCUACGGGAGGCAGCAGUGGGGAAUAUUGGACAAUGGGGGCAACCCUGAUCCAGCAAUGCCGCGUGUGUGAAGAAGGCCUGCGGGUUGUAAAGCACUUUCAGUAAGGAAGAAAAUCACAGGAUUAAUACCCCUGUGCCUUGACAUUACUUACAGAAGAAGCACCGGCUAACUCCGUGCCAGCAGCCGCGGUAAUACGGAGGGUGCGAGCGUUAAUCGGAAUUACUGGGCGUAAAGCGCGCGUAGGUGGUUUAGUAAGUCGGAUGUGAAAGCCCAGGGCUUAACCUUGGAAUUGCAUUCGAUACUGCUGGACUAGAGUAUGGUAGAGGGUAGUGGAAUUCCCGGUGUAGCGGUGAAAUGCGUAGAUAUCGGGAGGAACACCAGUGGCGA
rnacentral:rRNA from 1 species